rfam:Planomicrobium sp. ES2 genome assembly, contig: CONTIG000001
AUUCAUCUUCGGGGCAGGGUGCAAUUCCCUACCGGCGGUAAUUGGACUGCAGUCCUUAAGCCCGCGAGCCGUAAAAAGCAGGAUUUGGUGAGAUUCCAAAGCCGACAGUAUAGUCUGGAUGGGAGAAGGUGAAG